AUUGAACGCUGGCGGCAGGCCUAACACAUGCAAGUCGAACGGUAACAGAAAGCAGCUUGCUGCUUUGCUGACGAGUGGCGGACGGGUGAGUAAUGUCUGGGAAACUGCCUGAUGGAGGGGGAUAACUACUGGAAACGGUAGCUAAUACCGCAUAACGUCGCAAGACCAAAGAGGGGGACCUUCGGGCCUCUUGCCAUCGGAUGUGCCCGGAUGGGAUUAGCUAGUAGGUGGGGUAACGGCUCACCUAGGCGACGAUCCCUAGCUGGUCUGAGAGGAUGACCAGCCACACUGGAACUGAGACACGGUCCAGACUCCUACGGGAGGCAGCAGUGGGGAAUAUUGCACAAUGGGCGCAAGCCUGAUGCAGCCAUGCCGCGUGUAUGAAGAAGGCCUUCGGGUUGUAAAGUACUUUCAGCGGGGAGGAAGGGAGUAAAGUUAAUACCUUUGCUCAUUGACGUUACCCGCAGAAGAAGCACCGGCUAACUCCGUG
rnacentral:rRNA from 1 species